rnacentral:rRNA from 1 species
CGUCUAUAUACGUAUAGCAUAUCAAUAAGCGGAGGAAAAGAAACUAACUAGGACUUCCCUCAGUAACGGCGAGUGAAGCGGGAAGAGCUCAAAUUUGAAAUCUUCAAGGUUCUACCUUGACGAAUUGUAGUUUAAAGAAGUGUUUUCUGUUGGAGUUUUGGUAAAAGUUCUUUGGAAUAGGACAUCAUAGAGGGUGAGAAUCCCGUAUUUGACCAUUAUUUCCAACUUUGUGAUACACUUUCAAAGAGUCGGAUUGUUUGGGAAUGCAGUCCAAAAUGGGUGGUAAAUUUCAUCUAAAGCUAAAUACUGGCGAGAGACCGAUAGCGAACAAGUACCGUGAGGGAAAGAUGAAAAGAACUUUGAAAAGAGAGUUAAACAGUACGUGAAAUUGUCAAAAGGGAAGCGUUUGACACCAGUGUUGUUUUCUCGAAAAUCAAUUAAAAAUGGUGGGAUUUUGUGUUGUAUUGACUUUAUCAGCUUUCUGCACUUUUUUCUUGUCUUUUUUAAUGCACUUUUCGUUUAACAAGUCAACAUCAAUUUCUUUUGUUGUAAAAGAGUCAUUGGAAGGUGGCUUUCACUUUCGGUAGAAAGUGUUUAUAGCCUUUGACUUCUGCAAUCGGAGAGAUUGAGGUCUGCAGCGUAGAUCCUUCGGGGUUAGAUAGCAUUUGUGCUAAGUUAUAGCCUUUUCAUAGACAACAUGUUGACUAUGAUUAAGUCAUGUAGCUUACUCGCUUAUGCUAUUUUACCUACGCUUAGGAUGUUGACGAUCAGCUGAGCGCG